AAAUAUCAAGAGAAGAAUAAUCCUUAGUUAUUGACGCCUUAAUCCACCCAGCACAAGUCCUUUGAAACCUAAAAUUAAGAAAUCAAAUUAGCAGCAAGGCUGGAAAAAAAAAUCGCUUACGAAGCAAUUCCUUAUCCCUAGUAAAUUGUUCAAUUAGAGAACGUUCAUGAUUGAAACCUUCCUUUAAUUAUCUCUGUGUCGACUUUGUUAAAGGAAUUUAAGAGAUUUAGAGGCUUCGCCUUGCUUUAACCAAAGAAAAUCCACCAGUGGUUUCUACGAUUAAAUCCGAAGUUGUUUUAAUUAGCUGCGACAAAUUAAUUAUCACUAAUUCUAAGCUUAAUUGAGAAAUUCGAUUUCUUAAUUUGCACUUAACUGAUUAUAAGAAAAAUUCCCAAAUUAAUUAGGUGAUCACUCCAAUUGAAUUAGAAAAAUUCCUUGGAAAAUAAAACCAAACAACUCAAGAGUGCCGAAUUUGAUUUGAUAACAAAAUAAUUUUUUUCAAAGAACUAGUGCCUGGUUUCAGAAGUGUCGAACGAAGCUUAACUAAACUAGCCUCUCAUAGCUAGCAAAACAGAACACGAAUCCAUUGAAAAGAGCAUGAAUUACAAACUGAUUCUUGGAAGGCAAAGUUCUUCAAGUCGUCUGAUUUCCCUUCUCAUAAUUAGCUGAAUUUUCUAGCUGCUACUCUAGCUCCUUGAUCGAAUUUGCUGGCCCAAUUUUUAGAAAAUUCUGCUUGCUUGAAUCACGCCUUUCCUAUGCUGCUGUUCUUUUUUCUGAAUUUUUUUCUCUUCUUCCCUUUUCUUCAGCUGCUAUCAUCUCUAUUUAUGGGAUAAUAACCUCCAAUCAAUUCAAAAAUUAAAAUCAAUCUUAUCCCCCUUUUCCUUAGCCUUACCCAUCGCAUGAAAAUAGCUUCAG
rnacentral:lncRNA from 1 species